UUUAGGCUUUGAAUGGAUG
rnacentral:snRNA from 1 species